rnacentral:rRNA from 1 species
UCACGAAGAANUCCGAUUGCGAAGGCAGCUUGCUGGACUGUAACUGACGCUGAGGCACGAAAGCGUGGGGAUCAAACAGGAUUAGAUACCCUGGUAGNCCACGCCGUAAACGAUGANUGCUAGCUGUUAGCGAUAUACUGUUAGCGGCACAGAGAAAUCGUUAAGCAUUCCACCUGGGGAGUACGCCGGCAACGGUGAAACUCAAAGGAAUUGACGGGGGCCCGCACAAGCGGAGGAACAUGUGGUUUAAUUCGAUGAUACGCGAGGAACCUUACCUGGGCUUAAAUUGCAGUGGAAUAACGUGGAAACAUGUUAGCCUUCGGGCCGCUGUGAAGGUGCUGCAUGGUUGUCGUCAGCUCGUGCCGUGAGGUGUCGGCUUAAGUGCCAUAACGAGCGCAACCCUCAUCGAUAGUUACUAACAGGUUAAGCUGAGGACUCUAUCGAGACUGCCGACGUAAGUCGUGAGGAAGGUGGGGAUGACGUCAAAUCAGCACGGCCCUUACGUCCAGGGCUACACACGUGUUACAAUGGGGGGUACAAAGGGCAGCUACCUGGCGACAGGAUGCUAAUCUCAAAAACCUCUCUCAGUUCGGAUUGGAGUCUGCAACCCGACUCCAUGAAGCUGGAUUCGCUAGUAAUCGCGCAUCAGCCACGGCGCGGUGAAUACGUUCCCGGGCCUUGUACACACCGCCCGUCAAGCCAUGGGAGCCGGGGGGACCUGAAGUAUGCAACCGUAAGGAGCGUCCUAGGGUAAAACUGGUGACUGGGGCU